GGAAGCUUGGUGGUAGAGCAUCUGUCUUGCAUGCAGAACGUCCCAUGUUCAAUCCCCAGCAUCUCCA